rnacentral:rRNA from 1 species
UACGUAGGGGGCCAGCGUUGUCCGGAAUCAUUGGGCGUAAAGCGCGCGUAGGCGGCCAGAUAAGUCCGGUGUGAAAGUCAAAGGCUCAACCUUUGAAUGCCGCUGGAAACUGUCUGGCUUGAGUCCGGGAGGGGCGAGUGGAAUUCCUGGUGUAGCGGUGAAAUGCGUAGAUAUUGGGAGGAACACCGGUGGCGAAGGCGGCCCCCUGGACCGGUACUGACGCUGAGGCGCGAAAGCGUGGGUAGCAAACGGG